UUGAUUUUUACUUUUCUUUCUAACAUCAGUGCCUAGCAGAAUUGUUCAGACUAGGUUGUCAAUAGUAAAUUUGAAGACAAAAAUGUCCAUUUUCCUUUAGUCCAUGGAACCUACCAUACUUAAUAUACCUGCAACUAAAUAUUAAAAAUGAUGCUCUGUAACUCAGUACUUCUGGUAUUAGAACUAAUGAUCCUUCAAUGCAGCAAAUGCUUAAUGCUUAUACGAAUGUGGAUUUGUCAGCCUUUAUGUAAUCUGUAUUAUAUAGCAGGGAAAGAGUGGCACAAUGUGUGGCUUAAAAAGGCUACUUCUCAAUGAUGGCAUUUCAACUGGUUAUCAGCAAAUGACAAUACAUUCCACCACAAAUGUGCUCUUUUUGAGGAUCCCUGUUUUAGACUAUAUGAAAGAAACUGGGUGCUUCAGAAUUUGGAGAAAAAAACACGACUGUGCUGUGUAUGAACUGAAGACUGCCUGUUCAUUUUUUAAAUAUUAUUUCAGACCCUUUGCAUACCAGAGGAGGCCCAAUUUCACUCAAAUGUCUUGAGAACUGUGUUAAAUAAAUGCAAAUGAAGAGUAAAAAAAGAAAAGAAAAGAAA